UGGGUUUCAAAUUUCACCAAGUCCCAAACAAGUAAGAGAUAGACGUCAAGAAGGUGAUUGAUGAUUGGGUUGCUUCCUGUAAUCUUGUUCCACUUUGAUCUGCAUUUUCCAACUUUGGGGUAGGUCGUAUUUUUCUCAUUCGUACAGGUGUUUGAAGAAAAUCUGCAGAAUGGGCAGACGAGAUAAGAAUCUUUUUCUUCUUCUACUUCCUGUUUUCGGUCUUUUGAAUUCAAUCCAAGUGGAGUGCAAUUUUGUCAAUAUUACAUAUGUCGAAAGUGCGGUCAUUGAAGGCGCAGGUAAAGAAAGAAGAAGAAACUCACCAUCUUCUUUGAAAAUUACUUUUUCAUAAAUCAGCUGAGAUUAUGAUCAUAACUGAAAACUUACCAUUUACAGUGUGUUUGGAUGGAAGCCCACCUGCAUAUCACCUGUCUCCUGGUUUUGGAAUAGGAGUUGAUAAUUG
rnacentral:lncRNA from 1 species